AAUCAACGCUGGCGGCGCGCCUAACACAUGCAAGUCGCACGAGAAAGCCGGGGCAACCUGGUGAGUACAGUGGCGCACGGGUGAGUAACACGUGGGUUACCUACCCUCUGGUGGGGAAUAACCCUGGGAAACCGGGGCUAAUACCGCAUAAUCCCGGAAGGGAAAAGCCGAAAGGCGCCGGAGGAGGGGCCCGCGGCCGAUUAGCUAGUUGGUGGGGUAACGGCCCACCAAGGCAGUGAGCGGUAGCCGGCCUGAGAGGGCACACGGCCACACUGGCACUGAAACACGGGCCAGACUCCUACGGGAGGCAGCAGUGGGGAAUCUUGCACAAUGGGGGAAACCCUGAUGCAGCGACGCCGCGUGAGCGAUGAAGCCCUUCGGGGUGUAAAGCUCUUUCGGCAGGAACGAUAAUGACGGUACCUGCAGAAGAAGCUGCGGCUAACUACGUGCCAGCGGCCGCGGUAAGAC
rnacentral:rRNA from 1 species